rnacentral:rRNA from 1 species
GAUGAACGCUGGCGGCGUGCUUAACACAUGCAAGUCGAACGGAAAGGCCAGUGCUUACACUGGUACUCGAGUGGCGAACGGGUGAGUAACACGUGGGUGAUCUGCCCUGUACUUCGGGAUAAGCUUGGGAAACUGGGUCUAAUACCGGAUAGGACAACUUUUUGGAUAUUGUUGUGGAAAGCUUUUGCGGUAUGGGAUGAGCUCGCGGCCUAUCAGCUUGUUGGUGGGGUAAUGGCCUACCAAGGCGUCGACGGGUAGCCGGCCUGAGAGGGUGUACGGCCACAUUGGGACUGAGAUACGGCCCAGACUCCUACGGGAGGCAGCAGUGGGGAAUAUUGCACAAUGGGCGCAAGCCUGAUGCAGCGACGCCGCGUGGGGGAUGAAGGCCUUCGGGUUGUAAACUCCUUUCGCUAGGGACGAAGCUUUUUUGUGACGGUACCUGGAGAAGAAGCACCGGCUAACUACGUG